rnacentral:rRNA from 1 species
CUAAGCCACGCGAGAUCUGCCAAUCUAAGCACGCUGAUUGGCGGCGAACGGCUCAGUAACACGUAGUCAACCUGCCCUCGAGACGAGAACAAUCUCGGGAAACUGAGGCUAAUGCUCGAUAGAUCAAGAUUCCUGGAAUGGGUUUUGGUCCAAAAGGAGUGACAGCAUCUUGUCACUUUGCCCGAGGAUGGGACUGCGGCCGAUCAGGCUGUUGGUGGGGUAAAGGCCCACCAAACCAGUAACCGGUACGGGCUUUGAGAGAAGGAGAAUCGAAUUCCCGCGGCC